rnacentral:rRNA from 1 species
GAUGAACGCUGACAGAAUGCUUAACACAUGCAAGUCAACUUGAACUUCGGUUUGGGUGGCGGACGGGUGAGUAACGCGUAAAGAACUUGCCUCACAGAUAGGGACAACAUUUGGAAACGAAUGCUAAUACCUGAUAUUAUGAUUAUAUGGCAUCGUAUAAUUAUGAAAGCUAUAUGCGCUGUGAGAGAGCUUUGCGUCCCAUUAGCUAGUUGGAGAGGUAACGGCUCACCAAGGCGAUGAUGGGUAGCCGGCCUGAGAGGGUGAUCGGCCACAAGGGGACGGAGGAAGGGCCCUUACUCCAACGGGAGGCAGGAGUGGGGAAUAUUGGACACUGGACCAAGAGUGUGAUCCAGCAAUUCUGUGUGCACGAUGAAGUUUUUCGGAAUGUAAAGUGCUUUCAGUUGGGAAGAAAAAAAUGACGGUACCAACAGAAGAAGUGACGGCUAAAUACGUG